rnacentral:rRNA from 1 species
GACGAACGCUGGCGGCGUGCCUAAUACAUGCAAGUCGAGCGGACGAAUCGAAAGCUUGCUUUUGAUUCGUUAGCGGCGGACGGGUGAGUAACACGUGGGCAACCUGCCCUGUAGACGGGGAUAACACCGAGAAAUCGGUGCUAAUACCGGAUAACACGAAAUGUCGCAUGACGUUUCGUUGAAAGACGGCGCACGCUGUCGCUACAGGAUGGGCCCGCGGCGCAUUAGCUAGUUGGUGAGGUAACGGCUCACCAAGGCGACGAUGCGUAGCCGACCUGAGAGGGUGAUCGGCCACACUGGGACUGAGACCCGGCCCAGACUCCUACGGGAGGCAGCAGUAGGGAAUCUUCCGCAAUGGACGAAAGUCUGACGGAGCAACGCCGCGUGAGCGAAGAAGGCCUUCGGGUCGUAAAGCUCUGUUGUUAGGGAAGAACAAGUAACGCAGUAACUGGCGUUACCGUGACGGUACCUAACGAGAAAGCCACGGCUAACUACGUG